UGGUCACUUAAAGAGGGCUCCUGUGCUGUGAAAUCAAAAGCUCUUAAUGCUGUGACAUUAUUGAGGUUCUUUACAGAAAGUCACUGUUUUCCAUGUUGCUAUUUCCUGAAGAAAUGUGA
rnacentral:snoRNA from 1 species